UACGGAGGGUGCAAGCGUUAUCCGGAUUCACUGGGUUUAAAGGGUGCGUAGGCGGUCGGGUAAGUCUGUCGUGAAAUCUCCGAGCCCAACUCGGAAACUGCGUCGGAUACUAUUCGGCUAGAGGAAUGGAGGGAGACUGGAAUUCUCGGUGUAGCAGUGAAUGCGUAGAUAUCGUAAGGAAGACCAGUGGCGAAGGCGGUCUCUGGACAGUUCCUGACACUGAGACACGAAGGCCAGGGAGCAAACGGG
rnacentral:rRNA from 1 species